AAGAGUAAGGGUGUUCAUCGCCCGACCUCCAACCCUCUGUUGUUAUAACUACCACGUUGCUUUGGCGGGACCGUCCGGUCCUCCGGGCCGCCGGGGUCGAAAGGCCCAGGCGAGCGCCCGCCAGAGUCAAACCAAACUCUUGUUUUUAACCGGUCGUCUGAGUUAAAUUUUUGAAUAAAUCA
rnacentral:misc_RNA from 1 species